UGGGGAAUCUUGCGCAAUGCGCGAAAGCGUGACGCAGCAACGCCGCGUGGGGGAAGAAGGCCUUCGGGUUGUAAACCUCUUUCAGUUGGGACGAAGGCCGCGCGGUUAAUAGCCGUGGCGGUUGACGGUACCUUCAGAAGAAGCCCCGGCUAACUACGUGCCAGCAGCCGCGGUAAUACGUAGGGGGCAAGCGUUGUCCGGAAUCAUUGGGCGUAAAGAGCGUGUAGGCGGCCCGAUAAGUCCGCUGUGAAAGUCCAGGGCUCAACCCUGGAAUGCCGGUGGAUACUGUCGGGCUCGAAUCCGGAAGAGGUGAGUGGAAUUCCUGGUGUAGCGGUGAAAUGCGCAGAUAUCAGGAGGAACACCAAUGGCGAAGGCAGCUCACUGGGACGGUAUUGACGCUGAGACGCGAAAGCGUGGGGAGCAAACAGGAUUAGAUACCCCCGUAGUCC
rnacentral:rRNA from 1 species